rnacentral:lncRNA from 1 species
CACAAGGUUUGAUACAAGAAAUUCUUUCUCCACCUUCUAAACAUUACAGUGCUUAACUCCUACAUCCUGUUCAAGAAGGAGAAUUCUGAGCACACGGUUUGCCAUAGAAACUUCAGACUGACAUUGAUUAAAAGGAUGCUGAAAAAGCAUCGUGAGCCAGGGCAGCAACGUCUCUGGGGUCGUCCACGCUCUGAUGAUGUCACACCUCUUGGCCCACCUGGAAGACAUUUUCCCAACAGCAUUACCACCAUCAAAGAAACAAAACCCAACUGGUCACUGCACUUUUGCUGCUCACACAAUGACGAGGAUGGCAAGAUCUAUAGAGAACGGCAAUAUUUUUGUGCGGAAUGUGAUGUUUCACUUUCUGUUGUUCCGUGCUUUGAAAUUUUCCCACACGAAAAAAUUAU